rnacentral:rRNA from 1 species
CAGGGCUAAAAUGCAAGUCGAACGGAUGGCUUCGCCCAUUAGUGGCGCACGGGUGCGUAACGCGUGGGAAUCUGCCCUUGGGUACGGAAUAACUCAGAGAAAUUUGAGCUAAUACCGUAUGAUGACGUAAGUCCAAAGAUUUAUCGCCCAGGGAUGAGCCCGCGUAGGAUUAGGUAGUUGGUGGGGUAAAGGCCUACCAAGCCGACGAUCCUUAGCUGGUCUGAGAGGAUGAUCAGCCACACUGGGACUGAGACACGGCCCAGACUCCUACGGGAGGCAGCAGUGGGGAAUAUUGGACAAUGGGCGAAAGCCUGAUCCAGCAAUGCCGCGUGAGUGAUGAAGGCCUUAGGGUUGUAAAGCUCUUUUACCCGGGAAGAUAAUGACUGUACCGGGAGAAUAAGCCCCGGCUAACUCCGUGCCAGCAGCCGCGGUAAU